UACGUAGGGGGCAAGCGUUGUCCGGAAUCAUUGGGCGUAAAGCGCGCGUAGGCGGCUCGAUCAGUCUGCCUGUGAAAGUCAAAGGCUCAACCUUUGAAUGCCGGUGGAUACUGUCGAGCUAGAGUCCGGAAGAGGAGAAUGGAAUUCCUGGUGUAGCGGUGAAAUGCGCAGAUAUCAGGAAGAACACCCGUGGCGAAGGCGGUUCUCUGGGACGGUACUGACGCUGAGACGCGAAAGCGUGGGGAGCGAAACAGG
rnacentral:rRNA from 1 species